UACAGAAGGUGCGAGCGUUAAUCGGAAUUACUGGGCGUAAAGGGUGCGUAGGUGGUUUUGUAAGUUAGGUGUGAAAGUCCUGGGCUUAACCUGGGGAUUGCGCCUAAUACUGCAAAGCUAGAGUACUGUAGAGGAAAGUGGAAUUUCCAGUGUAGCGGUGAAAUGCGUAGAUAUUGGAAGGAACAUCAGUGGCGAAAGCGACUUUCUGGACAGAUACUGACACUGAGGCACGAAAGCGUGGGGAGCAAACAGG
rnacentral:rRNA from 1 species